rnacentral:tRNA from 3 species
GGUGCUGUAGUAUAGUGGUCAGUACAGCUCGUUGUGGCCGAGCAGACCUGGGUUCGAUUCCCAGCAGCGCCA